rnacentral:rRNA from 1 species
GACGAACGCUGGCGGCGUGCCUAAUACAUGCAAGUAGAACGCUGAAGAGAGGAGCUUACUCUUCUUGGAUGAGUUGCGAACGGGUGAGUAACGCGUAGGUAACCUGCCUUGUAGCGGGGGAUAACUAUGGGAAACGAUAGCUAAUACCGCAUAACAAUGGAUGACACAUGUCAUUUAUUUGAAAGGGGCAAUUGCUCCACUACAAGAUGGACCUGCGUUGUAUUAGCUAGUAGGUGAGGUAAUGGCUCACCUAGGCGACGAUACAUAGCCGACCUGAGAGGGUGAACCGCCACGCUGGGACUGAGACACGGCCCAGACUCCUAAGGGGAGCAGCAGUAGGGAAUCUUCGGCAAUGGGGGCAACCCUGGCCGAGCAACGCCGCGUGAGUGAAGAAGGUUUUCGGAUCGGAAAGCUCUGUUGUAAGUCAAGAACGGGUGUGAGAGUGGAAAGUUCACACUGUGACGGUAGCUUACCAGAAAGGGACGGCUAACUACGUG